rnacentral:rRNA from 1 species
CCCUUAGAUGUUCUGGGCCGCACGCGCGCUACACUGACAUGUUCAACAAGCCUCCUAGUUCGACAGGAUUUGGGAAAUCUUUGAACGCAUGUCGUGAUAGGGAUAGAUCAUUGCAAUUAUUGAUCUUGAACGAGGAAUUCCUAGUAAACGCGAGUCAUCAGCUCGCAUUGAUUACGUCCCUGCCCUUUGUACACACCGCCCGUCGCACCUACCGAUUGAAUGUUUCGGUGAAGAUUCCGGAUAGGACUUUUUUGAUUUAUUUCAAUUUUGUCUUAAAAGCUAUCUAAACCUCAACAUUUAGAGGAAGGAGAAGUCGUAACA